rnacentral:rRNA from 1 species
GUAGGUGGCAAGCGUUGUCCGGAAUUAUUGGGCGUAAAGCGCGCGCAGGCGGUUCUUUAAGUCUGAUGUGAAAGCCCACGGCUCAACCGUGGAGGGUCAUUGGAAACUGGAGAACUUGAGUACAGAAGAGGAAAGCGGAAUUCCACGUGUAGCGGUGAAAUGCGUAGAGAUGUGGAGGAACACCAGUGGCGAAGGCGGCUUUCUGGUCUGUAACUGACGCUGAGGCGCGAAAGCGUGGGGAGCAAACAGGAUUAGAUACCCUGGUAGUCCACGCCGUAAACGAUGAGUGCUAGGUGUUAGGGGGGUUUUCCGCCCCCCUUAGUGCUGCAGCUAACGCAUUAAGCACUCCGCCUGGGAGUACGGCCGCAAGGCUG